rnacentral:lncRNA from 1 species
AUGGUAUCCAUGCCACGAUUCCAGGGAAUUUGGGCAGCUCCCGGAGCGAGGCGUGGGCUCUCCCAGCAUUCCCAUGGAUCCAGUUCCAUCCUAUUUUUAAUUCCCUGGUCCCAAACUCCCCCAGGAGCUGCAGCUGCGGCUGCUCCUUCCCGUGGGAAGGGAGGGGGUGGCUCGGGACAGGGAUGGAUCCAGGAAAUAUUCCAGCCCCCUCCAAGCCUUUUCCCAGCCCUCCAAAUCCCAGGAAAAGCUCUUGGUGCUGCCUUUAGGGCCCUGCUCCCGAUUUUCAGCUGGAUUUUCCUCCCAGGCCGAAUUGCUCGGGAAUAUUUACAAACUUUGGAAAAGCUCAUCCAAGGUUUGCAGCUCCUCUGGGAAGCGGCCCUGGCGUGGGAGGAGCUGCUGCAGGAGAAUCCCAAAUUCCUGUCCCGGAUAAGGCCGGCAGCUGGGGCAGGAUGCAGAUCCAGACAUUCCCUGGGGCUCCCCCUUUUCCUGCCUUUCUGUGGGAACAAUUCCCAUCCCCACAUCCCACCCUUCCCCGCAGCUUUGGAUCACCGGAGCUUUUCCCGGAUCCACGCUGAAUCCGGAGAGCCAAAUCCAUCCCGGAAAAUCCUCUCACAGCUCCUUGUCCCACUUCCCUUUUCCUUCUCCACAUCCAGGGAAUGUCCAGGGACUGACAUUCCCCGGAUCUGUAUCCCAGUUUUGCCUGGAAAAGCCCUGGAAUCGGUGCUGGGCCAGGGGAGGAAGCUGCUCCUGGAAUUUCUUAGGAUUUCAUCGAUCCACGUUGCAGGAGAUAAAAUCCAUAGGGAAAGCUUGGAUCGAACAGAGGAAUUUUUGGGACACAAGACAGAACAUUUUCCAUUUGCUCAUCCAUUCCCUGAAAAUCAACAGAAAAUUCUCCAUCCUGCUGCAGGUGCUAUUCCUGGGGGCUUUUUUUCUGGGAUAAAUCCGUUCCCAUCCCAAAAAAAAAAAUCCCUGGGAAUGAGAGCUCCAAAUUCCCAGCCUGGCUUCCAACGGCACCCCUGGGUAUCAGGGAAUUUGGGGGUCUUUGAUCCCAAUUGUGGAUUUAUAUCCCAAAUUCUGGCCUGCUCAUCGAUCCCUCUGUGGAAUUGCUGGGAACGCACUUUCCCAGGGAUUCUGCCAUGGAUUGGGAAUGGCACCUGGGAAUACCCAACCCCAAAGGCAGCCCUGGUGACAUCCCACAAGUUUUUUCCUAAGGAAAAAAAAAUUGGGAAAGAGGGAUUCUCCCUGUUCUCACUGGGGUCAUUUGGACAUUCCCACAUCCCAAUCCAGGAUCUGGAGAGGGAUCAGCUCCAGUCCUGCUGCCUCCCAUUCCCAGUGCCAUUCCCAAUAUCCCAGCCUUUCCCAGGCUGUGUCACAGCCCAGGGCUUUUAUGGGAUCACCAAUCCCAUUCCCAGAGCCCACUGA